UACGGGGGGGGCAAGCGUUGUUCGGAAUUACUGGGCGUAAAGGGCUCGUAGGCGGCCAACUAAGUCAGACGUGAAAUCCCUCGGCUUAACCGGGGAACUGCGUCUGAUACUGGUUGGCUUGAAUCCGGGAGAGGGAUGUGGAAUUCCUGGUGUAGCGGUGGAAUGCGCAGAUAUCAGGAAGAACACCCGUGGCGAAGGCGGCUCUCUGGAACGCAACUGACGCUGAGACGCGAAAGCGUGGGGAGCAAACAGGG
rnacentral:rRNA from 1 species